rnacentral:rRNA from 1 species
GUGGGGAAUCUUCCGCAAUGGACGAAAGUCUGACGGAGCGACGCCGCGUGAGUGAAGAAGGCCUUCGGGUCGUAAAGCUCUGUCAUCAGGGACGAACGGCCGGUGGAGUGGAAAGCCACCGGAUUGACGGUACCUGAGAAGGAAGCCACGGCUAACUACGUGCCAGCAGCCGCGGUAAUACGUAGGUGGCAAGCGUUGUCCGGAAUUAUUGGGCGUAAAGCGCGCGCAGGUGGGAUCUUAAGUCCAUUUUGAAAGUUCGGAGCUCAACUCCGUGAUGGGAUGGAAACUGGGAUUCUUGAGUACCGGAGAGGAAAGCGGAAUUCCCCGUGUAGCGGUGAAAUGCGUAGAUAUGGGGAGGAACACCAGUGGCGAAGGCGGCUUUCUGGACGGUGUCUGACACUGAGGCGCGAAAGCUAGGGGAGCGAACGGGAUUAGAUACCCCGGUAGUCC